ensembl:lncRNA
CGACCCACCCUCACACUCCAACACACACCAAACGGCAUAAGUGACACAGUCUGUUAAAGUCUUGGGACGAUUCUUUGAGUUUGUCAUGGUUCACAGCUCAUGGAAGUAUGUGUCUGGACCCAAGUUACCUCUCAUUCAACCAGUGUAGAUCUGGUAAAGACAAUGGAAUUAAACCUGAAUGACGAAAAAAGGAAAUGAUACUUUCAAGUUGCGGAUUUGUUUCCACGGUCAAAAUGAUGGAGUGAAACCUUCAUCAUUUCAUCCAUGGGUUGACUGCUCCGAAGUGAAUCAACAAAGUUGCUGAAAACUGCCAGAAGAUCGGACUCCCCCGGAAGGGGAGUCGUGAGGUGUCCAAAGUGAUGGGUGUCUCCAGGGAACCGCAAGUUAAGAGAAUCAACAAAGUUGCUGAAAACUGCCAGAAGAUCAGACUCCCCUCAGAAGGGGAGUCGUGAGGUGUCCAAGUUGAUGGGUGUCUCCAGGGAACCGCAAGUUAAGAAGAGAUGACUUUUGGGUGUGGAAGAGGUUUUAUCUGGUUUCGCAGUAACACCCCUUUUGGUUGGAUUGACCAAUAACAAGGCAUAUAGUUUCAGCGGGAAAGCGUUUCUUUGUCUCAAUGACACCUGAUUUGCAUAUUUUAUUAAUGGAGUGAUUAACUGGUUAUCUGGUAACCCAAACUAUGGUACAAAUAGUAUGAUGCAUUUUAGGCUCACAUAGUAGAGAUAUUUAGCUAAGGCAAACCGAGAGGUUUAACUAGGUACCAAGAAAGAUGCAAGACAGAUAGAAACAAAGAUACAUGAAUAUAGGCACUUAGAGGUCAACUAACAUGACUAGAGAAUCAUAACUUUGCUAAUAAGAGCUGGGAAACAUACAAACACACAGGAAUAUAUUGUAUACAUUUGGAAUGGCUUAUAUCCUGAGUUAAAUGCAUAAAGCCCAAAUGAUCGUACAUGAUCUUAAGCAGAUGCUACAGUAACAUGGACAUCAGUUGGAGACUUUAGCUUGAGUCUCCUGCUUCUCACAUUUGUCUCCCAAGACAAAACUUCUAAUACUCUCAUAUUUUUCACCCUUUAAAGUUUAGGAGAUGUCAGCAACAACACACACUGUGCUCUGGGGGCUGUUUCAUAAUAGAUGCUAAGAAAAGCGGGGAUUAAAGUCCAAAACUUGACUUGAAAUAACCUAACAAAUCAAUCAGGACUAAAGCAGUUUCAUAAACAACAAUUUAAGUUCAAGCAAUCUCACUAAUUCGAUCCAGAUUCAGUGAGUCAGGAUAAUUUGAUAUGCACGC